UUUACGCUGGUAACGAUGCAUCAGGGUCACCACUAGGAAUCUUCUGUGGUACAACGGUACCACAACCCAUCAGCGUUCUGGGUAGUAUGGUGCUCAGAUUUAAAACUGACAGGUCUAUUACAGGACGCGGUUUUAACAUUUCCUACACCACACAGGACAAAAAUCGGGGCUGUGGUGGUUACUUGAAUGAUACGCAAGGUGAAAUAACGUCUUUUGAUGUAGAUGGAGACGGUGAAUAUGAGAAUUUUGUAGAUUGUCGAUGGACGAUCGUAGCGGCGGAUGAUGAAGUUGGUCGAUUUACUAUAAUUGACAUAGAUCUACAGAACAACACUGGAUGUACACUUGAUUAUAUUAAGGUAUAUGAUGGAAUGAAUGACAAUGCUCCGUUAAUCGGUCAGUAUUGUGGUGACACAUUACCGCCACCUAUAGUUGCUACGUCAAAAUUUCUGUAUGUUAUAUUCCACACUGACG